GGCUGGGGAUUCCCCACCUGUGCAGAAACCAAGUAGGCAACUUCUGACAGGGAAGCAGCCGCCUUCAGGCUUGCCAUUGUCACAGGGUCCUGACACUGAGGGUGUAGGGGCCGGGAGCUGCCCUGGGUGAAAACACCACAGACUCUCAUUGGUCUCCCUCAGCCUCAGAUGCUCCUCGGUGGGUUGUGUGCCUUCGAUCUCUUGGCAGAGUGCUGACCUGGUGGUUUUCUCCGGCUUCUCCAGUGUGGUCAUUGCUGUGCGGGAGGCGGAUUUGCUGAAUUCCUCGCUCCACCAUUCCGUGUGUCCUGCCAGCCCACCCUGAGGACGUUGGGAAGGCACAUCCUUCCAGCAAUCUGAGCACCCAAGAUGGAGACUCAGGGGCCUGGAGGAUUUUGAGAAGAGCUGCAGAGGAGCCAUGCACAUCUUCUCUCCAUUCUUUCCUGUGCAUGACUGGCCUCUCUGUUCAGAAGCGGAUUGCUGGUGCUCAUCACUCCCCCUCACCCAAAGGAUGGCCGUCUUCCAUGUCACACAGCAGAUGUGAACCGUGGGGACAAGGGUCACGCCGGGUCACACUCACUGAGUCGCCUGGAUCUUCUUCAACUCUGCCUCAAGGAAUGCUGGCUAUUCCUGGGGACAGGGCAGCAGGAGGGAAGCCGAGGAGGGACUCCCUGGACCCUGCACCCAGGAGGACCACUAUGACAGCCUGGCAGGUGGUUCCCAAUGUGCUCCGGACACCAGGCAAGAGAUCCACAAGUCCUUCCUCAGCGGAGUCUCCCAAGAGCCCAUCCGGAGGCCCAGUCAUUUCCUCAUUGCGCAGAAGGGGAAGCUGAGGCUCAGGGCCUCCCCUGCAGUCGCCAGCUAGAGAGAGGCUGAGCAU